CAGUCGCCACGGUAAUACGAAGGGUGCAAGCGUUGAUCGGAAUUACUGGGCGUAAAGCGUGCGUAGGCGGUGAGUUAAGUCUGCUGUGAAAUCCCCGGGCUCAACCUGGGAAUGGCAGUGGAUACUGGCUCGCUAGAGUGUGUCAGAGGAUGGUGGAAUUCCCGGUGUAGCGGUGAAAUGCGUAGAGAUCGGGAGGAACAUCAGUGGCGAAGGCGACUAUCUGGGCCAACACUGACACUGAGGCACGAAAGCGUGGGGAGCAAACAGGAUUAGAUACCCCGGUAGUCCCUGUCUCUUAUAA
rnacentral:rRNA from 1 species